rnacentral:piRNA from 1 species
UGCUACCUUCCAGAUUUCCCACACAC